UACGUAGGGUGCGAGCGUUAAUCGGAAUUACUGGGCGUAAAGCGUGCGCAGGCGGUUUUGUAAGCCAGAUGUGAAAGCCCCGGGCUUAACCUGGGAAUGGCAUUUGGGACUGCAAGGCUUGAGUGCGGCAGAGGAGACUGGAAUUCCUGGUGUAGCAGUGAAAUGCGUAGAUAUCAGGAGGAAUACCGAUGGCGAAGGCAGGUCUCUGGGCUGACACUGACGCUCAUGCACAAAGCGUGGGGAGCAAACAGG
rnacentral:rRNA from 1 species